rnacentral:rRNA from 1 species
GCGAUCAUACCAACACUAAUGCACCGGAUCCCAUCAGAAUUCCGAUGUUAAGCGUGUUUUGGCGAGAGCAGUACUAGGAUGGGUGACCCCUGAGAAGUUCUCGUGUUGCACCU